CAGGAUUGUUAUGCGGUUACUGAACAGAUAAAGAUUUUUAAGAAAGAGGCUAGUUCUUGAUCACGUUAUGGGACGUCCCAAAUUAAGUAGGCUACUUUUAAAGGAGGGUGUAAACACUUUUUUUUUUGUUGCUACGGAUUAAAUAUUGACGUGCUCUGCUGGAUUUAGACAAAAAGUGUGUUUCUGUGGAUAUUGCUUUAAUUCAUCGUUGUGGAUCUUCAAGCUAAAAAUACGGUGCUUAUUCUUUGUUCGGGAAAGCACAGAAAAGAAGGAAAAAUUAGAGGAGACAAAUGAAGAGGAGGAGGGAUGAACAUUCACAAGCCAGAGGAUCAAAACCAGCAAAUGCAGAGAAUCUUGUUAAAAGGAACAGUAUGGAUCUUCCUGCGACUCUAAACUUCUCUCAUGAUGCAGACAGACCAGAGAGACAUUUUGAUGUAUCAGAAUCAAAGACGAGCAGAUCAUCUGAACACCGACCAGACAAACCUUUAUGAAUCUCUCAAGUUUCUUUGAAUGGAGCUGCAAUACUUAAUUGUUUCCAGGCCUGGCUCCAUCCAAUCAGGAGCUGCUUCGGCAGCUUGGUAUCAAAAAUUCACAUGUUUAUUUAGAAAGUAGAAAGUAUGUUAGUCUUGCCAGUUU
rnacentral:lncRNA from 1 species